CAAGGAUACUCAUAAUUUGAUGCCAACCUGCGUCAAAGUUGCCUAUACAUCUGAUAAUCUCUUGUGUUGAAUCUACCUUUCUCUCACAAAGGAGAUCUUUACGGUCUGCCAAUAGUGCCCGUUUGUAUGCAUUUUUUAAACAUUUAUUUGGAUACCCCUUUUGUUUAAACUGAUAUUGUAAAGUCUUUGCCUUCAGUUUAAAAUCUUCUACGGUAGAGCAGUUGCGUCUUAAUCGUAAAUACUGUCCAACUGGAAUCCCUUUUUUCAG